rnacentral:rRNA from 1 species
AACCGGGGCUAAUACCGGAUGGUUGUUUGAACCGCAUGGUUCAGACAUAAAAGGUGGCUUCGGCUACCACUUACAGAUGGACCCGCGGCGCAUUAGCUAGUUGGUGAGGUAACGGCUCACCAAGGCGACGAUGCGUAGCCGACCUGAGAGGGUGAUCGGCCACACUGGGACUGAGACACGGCCCAGACUCCUACGGGAGGCAGCAGUAGGGAAUCUUCCGCAAUGGACGAAAGUCUGACGGAGCAACGCCGCGUGAGUGAUGAAGGUUUUCGGAUCGUAAAGCUCUGUUGUUAGGGAAGAACAAGUGCCGUUCAAAUAGGGCGGCACCUUGACGGUACCUAACCAGAAAGCCACGGCUAACUACGUGCCAGCAGCCGCGGUAAUACGUAGGUGGCAAGCGUUGUCCGGAAUUAUUGGGCGUAAAGGGCUCGCAGGCGGUUUCUUAAGUCUGAUGUGAAAGCCCCCGGCUCAACCGGGGAGGGUCAUUGGAAACUGGGGAACUUGAGUGCAGAAGAGGAGAGUGGAAUUCCACGUGUAGCGGUGAAAUGCGUAGAGAUGUGGAGGAACACCAGUGGCGAAGGCGACUCUCUGGUCUGUAACUGACGCUGAGGAGCGAAAGCGUGGGGAGCGAACAGGAUUAGAUACCCUGGUAGUCCACGCCGUAAACGAUGAGUGCUAAGUGUUAGGGGGUUUCCGCCCCUUAGUGCUGCAGCUAACGCAUUAAGCACUCCGCCUGGGGAGUACGGUCGCAAGACUGAAACUCAAAGGAAUUGACGGGGGCCCGCACAAGCGGUGGAGCAUGUGGUUUAAUUCGAAGCAACGCGAAGAACCUUACCAGGUCUUGACAUCCUCUGACAAUCCUAGAGAUAGGACGUCCCCUUCGGGGGCAGAGUGACAGGUGGUGCAUGGUUGUCGUCAGCUCGUGUCGUGAGAUGUUGGGUUAAGUCCCGCAACGAGCGCAACCCUUGAUCUUAGUUGCCAGCAUUCAGUUGGGCACUCUAAGGUGACUGCCGGUGACAAACCGGAGGAAGGUGGGGAUGACGUCAAAUCAUCAUGCCCCUUAUGACCUGGGCUACACACGUGCUACAAUGGACAGAACAAAGGGCAGCGAAACCGCGAGGUUAAGCCAAUCCCACAAAUCUGU